CAUUAAUAUAAUAUUUUAUUUUGUUUUAGUUUCAUAACUAAAAUAGUUUGGCAGCAAGUAACUCUUUUCAGGGGAAUGUGUAUAGUAAAGGACGAUCCGCCUAUUAAUUUACUUAUAUUAUGUUGGUGUAUAUCUGGUUUGAUAUUAUUGCUUUAGUAGCUGAAUUUGUGUAUAAUAACUAUUUAAGCCAAGUCUAUGUGCUGCUUGUAUAAGUUUUUAUGCGUUACAUUAAUAAAGGUUAAUUUUGUUAUAGAUUUUUAUUUAGGACUUGAUAGUAAUAUAAAUUUAUUUUGUUUAUGUGAAGAAGGUUUAGCUUGGGUACACACCGCCCGUCACCCUCGAUAAUUGUUGAG
rnacentral:rRNA from 1 species